GCUGUGUGAUGCUGUAAAGAGAGGAAGUUGGUAGCAGAAGCUGGCUGCGGGGGAGAGGUGUUCCUAUCUCCUGCGCAAUUGCUGCUCUCUAUGCGGUACCUGGCCUGUUGUUACAUACAGACUUUGUUUCCAAUGCUGUCAAUUUCUAUGAGCACAGACCUUUUUGUAAAAAUGCAUUCCCCACAAGAAGUCAUUGGGAGUUAGAAAUAGAAACCUCCAGGAAACGACCCCAGAAGAACACCAAAUAGGUUCCCCAUGCCCAAGGAAUGGACAGUCGCCACCCAGGUGUCCCAGUUAGCACCCAUCACUCACACUGGCAACAGAAAUACUGUGGUCCCAAAUUGCUCGGUGGAUCUUACACCUCCAGUGUAAACUUCUAUUUCAUUCCACAAUCUUUGGGCUCCUUGAAAUUCUGCAACCUCGGCAGGAAAUUUGAUCCCAAGCACAUUUACAUGGAUGAAGGUGGCAUUAUGUCGAGCUUCAAAGAGGCAGGCAGGUGGGCUUAGGAGAUGUGAUAGCUGACGAGGAAGCCAUAGACUAAGUCUGGUUUAUGUAACAAAUAAAAUGUUUUCAACCAAAACUCAUGAAUUUUACACAUACAAAAUGGUGGGAAACCUCUAUCUUAUGCAAAGAGCUUUAAUUCCAUUUCAGCACCUUGCUAUGUGCAAGGUUAAUCAGACAGUUAUACAAGGCUGCUGGCCCAAAUUGUAAUGCAUUCGUUGUGUUUCAGAGACUUGGAAUGGCUAAUUAUGGAUAACAAGCUCCUGGAUUAUAAUAGUCAUCCCAGCCCACUAGCAUGCAUUUGAGUUAGCAUUGGGAAGAGGAUAAUUCUACAAAAAUAGCUCAUUAUCUUUCAGUGGUUUGAGCAGUUUUGGCUGCAAUUAAGACUAUAGUAACCUAUAAAGGGCAUUCAGAUCUUUUGCAUCUCCUCUUCAGAGGCAUGCAAUACAAGUAAUAGUCUUGGCAGAAUUCAAUGUUUUAAAAUAACUUUGACAGCUAAUAUCAAUGUUUAUUUUUUAGCAGU